rnacentral:rRNA from 1 species
GAUGAACGCUGGCGGCGUGCCUAAUACAUGCAAGUCGAGCGCAUGGUCGAGCAGCUUGCCUUUCUGCUGUUAGCGGCGGACGGGUGAGUAACACGUGGAUACCCUACCUUUACCACUGCGAUAACUUCGGGAAACCGGAGCUAAUACCGGAUAAUACUUUGUACUUCAUUUUUCAACAGUGUAAGACGGUCUUGCUGUCUCUUACAUAUGUAUCCGCGCUGCAUUGGGUAGUUGGUAUGGUAACGGCUUACCAAGGCGACAAUGCAUAGCCGACCUGGGAGGGUGAUCGGCCACACUGGAACUGAGACACGGUCCAGACUCCUACGGGAGGCAGCAGAAGGGAAUCUUCCGCAAAGGGGGAAAGCCUGACGGAGCAACGCCGCGUGAGUGAUGAGGGUCUUCGGAUCGUAAAACUCUGUUAUUAGGGAAGAACAUAUGUGUAAGUAACUGCGCACAUCUUGACGGUACCUAAUCAGAAAGCCACGGCUAACUACGUG